rnacentral:rRNA from 1 species
AACGAACGCUGGCGGCAUGCCUAACACAUGGAAGUCGAACGAGACCUUCGGGUCUAGUGGCGCACGGGUGCGUAACGCGUGGGAACCUGCCCUUAGGUUCGGAAUAACUCCCCGAAAGGGGUGCUAAUACCGGAUAAUGUCUUCGGACCAAAGAUUUAUCGCCUUUGGAUGGGCCCGCGUUGGAUUAGCUAGUUGGUAGGGUAAAAGCCUACCAAGGCGACGAUCCAUAGCUGGUCUGAGAGGAUGAUCAGCCACACUGGGACUGAGACACGGCCCAGACUCCUACGGGAGGCAGCAGUGGGGAAUAUUGGACAAUGGGCGAAAGCCUGAUCCAGCAAUGCCGCGUGAGUGAUGAAGGCCUUAGGGUUGUAAAGCUCUUUUACCCGGGAUGAUAAUGACAGUACCGGGAGAAUAAGCUCCGGCUAACUCCGUG